AUUGAACGCUGGCGGCAUGCCUUACACAUGCAAGUCGAACGGCAGCACGGGAGCAAUCCUGGUGGCGAGUGGCGAACGGGUGAGUAAUAUAUCGGAACGUGCCCAGUCGUGGGGGAUAACGUAGCGAAAGCUACGCUAAUACCGCAUACGAUCUAUGGAUGAAAGCGGGGGAUCGCAAGACCUCGCGCGAUUGGAGCGGCCGAUAUCAGAUUAGGUAGUUGGUGAGGUAAAGGCUCACCAAGCCGACGAUCUGUAGCUGGUCUGAGAGGACGACCAGCCACACUGGGACUGAGACACGGCCCAGACUCCUACGGGAGGCAGCAGUGGGGAAUUUUGGACAAUGGGCGCAAGCCUGAUCCAGCAAUGCCGCGUGCAGGAUGAAGGCCUCGGUUGUAACUAGCUUUUGUACGGUAACGAAA
rnacentral:rRNA from 1 species